rnacentral:tRNA from 1 species
GACCGAAUGGCGUAGUGGUUAGCGACCCUGACUCUGAGCCGAUGGUCCCGGGUUCGAUUCCCGGCUGGGGCA